rnacentral:rRNA from 1 species
UACGGGGGGGGCAAGCGUUGUUCGGAAUUACUGGGCGUAAAGGGCUUGUAGGUGGCCAACUAAGUCAGACGUGAAAUCCCUCGGCUUAACCGGGGAACUGCGUCUGAUACUGGAUGGCUUGAGUGUGGGAGAGGGAUGCGGAAUUCCAGGUGUAGCGGUGAAAUGCGUAGAUAUCAGGAGGAACACCGGUGGCGAAGGCGGAUCUCUGGGCCUUACCUGACGCUGAGGCGCGAAAGCUAGGGGAGCGAACAGG